rnacentral:rRNA from 1 species
AUGGGGUUUAGUGCAUAUCAAAAGAUAUCGGCGGCAAUGUGGGUACUCGCUUACGGCAUACCCGCAGAUUAUACCAACGAGUAUCUUCGCAUUGGGCAAGAUACAACCACGGAGUCAGUCCGUAGGUUUGCCAAGUUGGUCAUCCGGUUGUAUGGUGAGCAGUAUCUUCGGGCACCAAACGAGGAAGAUACAAAGAGAUUAAUGGAAAUGAAUGAAAAAAGGGGAUGGCCGGGGAUGCUAGGUAGUCUUGAUUGCAUGCAUUGGAGGUGGAAAAAUUGCCCAAAGGCAUGGCACGGAAUGUAUUGCGGUAAAAGCCGUGAUGCUACCAUUGUGCUUGAGGCCGUAGCAUCUCAGGACACAUGGAUUUGGCAUGCAUUUUUUGGGUUGCCGGGAACACUCAAUGAUAUCAAUAUCCUCAAUAGAUCUCCUUUGUUCAAAAGAUUAAUUUCUGGGGAUGCUCCAGCUUGCAACUACAAAAUCAUGGACAAUGAGUACUCAAUGGGAUACUAUCUCACCGAUGGCAUCUAUCCCGAAUGGGCAACUCUUGUGAAGUCCAUCAAGGAGAAAAAUGGGGUGCCCUUGACAAGAAAAGAAGCUCAUUUUACCAAGGCACAAGAGGCAGCCCGCAAGGAUAUUGAGAGAGCUUUCGGUGUUUUGCAAGCAAGGUUUGCCAUAUUUCGUGGUCCAGCCCGGUUUUGGGACAAAAAAACCUUGAUGAACAUCAUGAAAUGUUGU